UCUCUGUCCUCUUGAGGAGAUAUAAAUGUUAUCACAGUGUCUCUAUGGGAGCACGCGGAGAGGUCUCUAUAGAGAAGAAUAUUGUGAGAAGGGUUGUAGCUGGCCUUUUGGGGCAUGUGCACACCCUGAUCACACAUCCACCUCUCACACUUGUGCACUAUGUGUAGCUUGGGAUGAUUACAAUAUUAGAAAUGAUAUUGAAAGCUCUAGCUAUGAAUUUUUAUAAACUUAUACAUAAAGUUAUAGAAUGGAUGAUGUUAUUGCAUGUAAUAGUGCAAAUAUAUACAACUUUCAGCAACGGAUCUCUUGGCUCUCGCAUCGAUGAAGAACGCAGCGAAAUGCGAUAAGUAAUGUGAAUUGCAGAAUUCAGUGAAUCAUCGAAUCUUUGAACGCACCUUGCACUCCUUGGUAUUCCGAGGAGUAUGCCUGUUUGAGUGUCAUGAAAUUCUCAACUGUCUUUUAGCAUUUAUUGUUAAGGUGAAGUUGGAGUUGGAGGAUAACUGCUGGCGCAACUUAGGUUGCUUGUUGGCUCCUCUUAAAUGGAUGAGCUUUUCUGAUGGAUCAUAGCUCAGUAAUACUAAUGUGAUAAUUAUCUACAUUAGAUGUGAAAGUUAUGAGUAGAGUAACUUCAAUUGUGGAGAAGCUCCUACAGAAAGGAAGUGUUAUUGGGCCCAAUAAUAAACCCAUAACUAAAAAUA
rnacentral:rRNA from 1 species